GCGAGUAUGGCCCUCACGGGUCUAAUCCACCAUAAACACCUUUGUGAACCAGUCAGGGGGACUCGGCCGUGAAAGCCCAAGCGAUUAGCGGAAGGGCCCUCCUUUGCAAACCCGUUUAGAAGUCUUGAAAGUACUUUUGUAUAAUCUAGUA
rnacentral:misc_RNA from 1 species